rnacentral:rRNA from 1 species
UACGGGGGGAGCAAGCGUUGUUCGGAUUUACUGGGCGUAAAGGGCGCGUAGGCGGUCAGCACAAGUCAGUUGUGAAAUCUCCGGGCUUAACUCGGAAAGGUCAACUGAUACUGUGCGACUAGAGUGCGGAAGGGGCAACUGGAAUUCUCGGUGUAGCGGUGAAAUGCGUAGAUAUCGAGAGGAACACCUGCGGCGAAGGCGGGUUGCUGGGCCGACACUGACGCUGAGGAGCGAAAGCAUGGGGAGCGAACAGG